GUGCUCAAUUUAGCAGCAGUUAUACUAAAACCAAGAUGAUAUGAAGAAGAUUAAUAUGACCCCUAUGCAAAGAUGGCAUGCUAAUUCAUGAAGUCUUUCAUAUUUUA